UUUGCCUAACCUUUCAUUUUGUUACUCUGUGUUGUCUAUCUUCUCAGAUACGCAUCCUCCUCCUCAAUGAUUCCAUUUCAAAUCCUUCUCAUCCUCAAUGAAUUAUCUUCCAUUUGUUCUUUUCAAGAUCCAUGUUAUCAUCAACGGUGAUAGUAAGUGAAGAUCCGAUAGAAUAAAGGUAAUCUUUUUGGUUGAAAUUAGGGUUUGCAGGUGUUCAUCAUAUAAUAGAUUCAAAUGUUUUCGAUUGACAAUAACCACCGUCUACUUCCGAUUUUAAGUUUUUUGGUUGUUGAAAUUAGGGUUUUUUAUUUUAUAUUGAUUUUCUUUCUGAUUUAGUCUUUUGAUCUAGGGUUUUAGAAACCUCAAAUUGUUUUUUUAGGAGUUGAUUAUAGUGAUAUGUUUUUUCGAAUUGACAACUAUGAUAUGAUUUAUGACAGUUUUUUGGUUUAUACUUCAUGAUGAAUGCCUUAGAAUUUUGUUUAAUAGGAUGAUUAUUCUGUGAAAAUUUGAGAAUUAGGGUUUCAAAACUUAUCAAAAUAAUUUUUAGGCGUGGAUUACAGUGAAUUUGAUCUUCGAAUUAACAACAUAGAUUUGAUUUAUGUGAGUUGGUUGUUUGUUUAUACUCAUGAUGAAAGCCAUUUUGUUAACCCGGUUACAUCGAAACUUUAGAUGGAUUUUGUUUCAGGGCUUUACAUUUUAAUUUUAUAACCAGUUUCAUGGCUUCUAUUUUAAACUUUGAUACACCCACGGAAGACCCUGAUGACAAGAUUCAAAGUUUCGAUAUUGAUCCAGCCAACCCUUCAUGUCUUUUUGUUCUAACGACAAGCAUGUGUUUCUAACGACAAGCAUGUGUUCAUCAUAAAUUGGUCUCAUGUAAAGAAGAAGCAUCGGAAAUGGGCGGCUUCUGGGACUGGGGGUGGGAGUGGGUGGGGGUGGGGGUCUGGUGGUGGUGGUGGAGCUCAUGGAGGUGGGCAUGGUGAUGGCUGCAGUAGCGGAGGUGACGACGGAGGUGACGACGGAGGGCACGGUCUCGACAACCAUGUAUAAGUUGGUUGCAGCCGGUUUGAAGAAUAAUGCCUACUUACACAAAUGAUCCACUUCUGCAAGUGGAAACAAUAUAUGGAUCCCUUCUUUGGAAUACGUUCGCAUAUAAAAACAACCCACAGGAGUCUGCGAGAUAUACCGGAGACACCUACAGGGGGACAAAGUCGUUGUCGGGACCGGGAUCACGUCGACAUCAUUUCGUUCACUGUUUCGGUUAUUAUGGUAGAUGGGGUUUAUGCCAGUAGAGAAUUUAAUAGUCUUCAACAAGGGCACAUUUUCGGGGUUACGCCUGGAUGGGAUGCAAGCAAUGAAGUCUUCAACAACUUCAAUGAAUGAAAAUGUGCAUAAGCAAUCUUUUAUCAUUGAUACAGAUGAAUUAGAGGAAGAAGAAGGAGUGAGGGAGGGGGUGAAGUAGGGUUUGAAAAGCUCACAAGUGCUCAGAGAAAAAGGCUUUGAAAGAAGAAACUAAAAGAAGUUGCUUCUUAAAGGAGACAGAUUAUCGGGCCGUAGUUGAAAUCGAUGGUGAAGUUAGUAGCGUUCGUGAACAUGAACGUCUGGAAGGUGUUCGACGAAAUGCCACAGAGAAACCUUAAGUCGCUAUUGUCACAUUUUAACGCAAAAUUACAGGUUAAUUGAUUAGUGAUUAUUAUAGAUUAUUGGAAAAAAUUAGUAUUCUAUUGGUAUUAUAGAUUACUGGAAAGAAUUAGUAUUGUAUUCGUAUUAUUUGGUAUUUGAUUUGGAGAAGGAAGAUGAUUGAUCAGAUUUGUAAACUUUUGGGUUUUUUGUUUAAUGA